rnacentral:rRNA from 1 species
CUUUCGGGGUACACGAGCGGCGAACGGGUGAGUAACACGUGGGUGAUCUGCCCUGCACUUCGGGAUAAGCCUGGGAAACUGGGUCUAAUACCGGAUAUGACCUCCUGUUGCAUGACUUGGGGUGGAAAGAUUUAUCGGUGCAGGAUGGGCCCGCGGCCUAUCAGCUUGUUGGUGGGGUAAUGGCCUACCAAGGCGACGACGGGUAGCCGACCUGAGAGGGUGACCGGCCACACUGGGACUGAGACACGGCCCAGACUCCUACGGGAGGCAGCAGUGGGGAAUAUUGCACAAUGGGCGAAAGCCUGAUGCAGCGACGCCGCGUGAGGGAUGACGGCCUUCGGGUUGUAAACCUCUUUCAGCAGGGACGAAGCGCAAGUGACGGUACCUGCAGAAGAAGCACCGGCUAACUACGUGCCAGCAGCCGCGGUAAUACGUAGGGUGCAAGCGUUGUCCGGAAUUACUGGGCGUAAAGAGUUCGUAGGCGGUUUGUCGCGUCGUUUGUGAAAACCAGCAGCUCAACUGCUGGCUUGCAGGCGAUACGGGCAGACUUGAGUACUGCAGGGGAGACUGGAAUUCCUGGUGUAGCGGUGAAAUGCGCAGAUAUCAGGAGGAACACUCGGUGGCGAAAGCGGGUCUCUGGGCAGUAACUGACGCUGAGGAACGAAAGCGUGGGUAGCGAACAGGAU